CGGUGUUUAACUGGCGUGAUGUGGGACGUCCUACCGGUGGGCUUAGCCUCGCGAGGGGCGGCCCAACUAAUAUCCCGUCGCGGUGCUCUUUACUGAGUGUCGAGUCGGGCCGGUACGUUUACUUUGAACAAAUUAGAGUGCUUAAAGCAGGCUAUCCUCGCCUGAAUACUGCGUGCAUGGAAUAAUGGAAUAGGACCUCGGUUCUAUUUUGUUGGUUUUCGGAACCCCGAGGUAAUGAUUAAUAGGGACAGAUGGGGGCAUUCGUAUUGCGACGUUAGAGGUGAAAUUCUUGGAUCGUCGCAAGACGGACAGAAGCGAAAGCAUUUGCCAAAAAUGUUUUCAUUUAAUCAAGAACGAAAGUUAGAGGUUCGAAGGCGAUCAGAUACCCGCCCUAGUUCUAACCAUAAACGAUGCCAGCUAGCGAUCCGCCGAAAGUUCCUCCGAUGACUCGGCGGGCAGCUUCAGGGAAAACCAAAGCUUUUGGGGUUCCGGGGAGAAGUAUGGUUGCAAAGCUGAACCUAAAGGAAUUGACGGAAGGGCACCACCAGGAGUGGAGCCUGCGGGUUAAAUUGACUCAACACGGGAAACCUCACCAGGCCCAGACACCGGAAGGAUUGACAGAUUGAUAGCUCUUUCUUGAUUCGGUGGGUGGUGGUGCAUGGCCGUUCUUAGUUGGUGGAGCGAUUUGUCUGGUUAAUUCCGAUAACGAACGAGACUCUACCCUGCUAAAUAGGCGUACCUUAUGGUAUCGCGAAGGCCCCCGGCUUCGGUCGGUGGGUUUUUACUACCAACGUACAAACAAAUUUUUAGAGGGACAGGCGG
rnacentral:rRNA from 1 species